rnacentral:rRNA from 1 species
UACGUAGGUGGCAAGCGUUGUCCGGAAUUAUUGGGCGUAAAGCGCGCGCGGGCGGCCUUUUAAGUCUGAUGUGAAAGCCCACGGCUCAACCGUGGAAGGUCAUUGGAAACUGAAAGGCUUGAGUACAGAAGAGGAAAGCGGAAUUCCACGUGUAGCGGUGAAAUGCGUAGAGAUGUGGAGGAACACCAGUGGCGAAGGCGGCUUUCUGGUCUGUAACUGACGCUGAGGCGCGAAAGCGUGGGGAGCAAACAGG